GCUUGCUUCAGCAACGCACAUACUGGAAUUGGAACGAUACUGAGAAGAUUGGCCUGGCCCCUGUGCAGGGGUGACAUGCAAAUUCGUGAAGCGUUCCGUAUUUUU